rnacentral:rRNA from 1 species
CGGGACACGUGGUAUCCUGUCUGAAUAUGGGGGGACCAUCCUCCAAGGCUAAAUACUCCUGACUGACCGAUAGUGAACCAGUACCGUGAGGGAAAGGCGAAAAGAACCCCGGCGAGGGGAGUGAAAAAGAACCUGAAACCGUGUACGUACAAGCAGUGGGAGCACGCUUAGGCGUGUGACUGCGUACCUUUUGUAUAAUGGGUCAGCGACUUAUAUUCUGUAGCAAGGUUAACCGAAUAGGGGAGCCGAAGGGAAACCGAGUCUUAACUGGGCGUUAAGUUGCAGGGUAUAGACCCGAAACCCGGUGAUCUAGCCAUGGGCAGGUUGAAGGUUGGGUAACACUAACUGGAGGACCGAACCGACUAAUGUUGAAAAAUUAGCGGAUGACUUGUGGCUGGGGGUGAAAGGCCAAUCAAACCGGGAGAUAGCUGGUUCUCCCCGAAAGCUAUUUAGGUAGCGCCUCGUGAAUUCAUCUCCGGGGGUAGAGCACUGUUUCGGCAAGGGGGUCAUCCCGACUUACCAACCCGAUGCAAACUGCGAAUACCGGAGAAUGUUAUCACGGGAGACACACGGCGGGUGCUAACGUCCGUCGUGAAGAGGGAAACAACCCAGACCGCCAGCUAAGGUCCCAAAGUCAUGGUUAAGUGGGAAACGAUGUGGGAAGGCCCAGACAGCCAGGAUGUUGGCUUAGAAGCAGCCAUCAUUUAAAGAAAGCGUAAUAGCUCACUGGUCGAGUCGGCCUGCGCGGAAGAUGUAACGGGGCUAAACCAUGCACCGAAGCUGCGGCAGCGACACUAUGUGUUGUUGGGUAGGGGAGCGUUCUGUAAGCCUGUGAAGGUGUACUGUGAGGUAUGCUGGAGGUAUCAGAAGUGCGAAUGCUGACAUAAGUAACGAUAAAGCGGGUGAAAAGCCCGCUCGCCGGAAGACCAAGGGUUCCUGUCCAACGUUAAUCGGGGCAGGGUGAGUCGACCCCUAAGGCGAGGCCGAAAGGCGUAGUCGAUGGGAAACAGGUUAAUAUUCCUGUACUUGGUGUUACUGCGAAGGGGGGACGGAGAAGGCUAUGUUGGCCGGGCGACGGUUGUCCCGGUUUAAGCGUGUAGGCUGGUUUUCCAGGCAAAUCCGGAAAAUCAAGGCUGAGGCGUGAUGACGAGGCACUACGGUGCUGAAGCAACAAAUGCCCUGCUUCCAGGAAAAGCCUCUAAGCAUCAGGUAACAUCAAAUCGUACCCCAAACCGACACAGGUGGUCAGGUAGAGAAUACCAAGGCGCUUGAGAGAACUCGGGUGAAGGAACUAGGCAAAAUGGUGCCGUAACUUCGGGAGAAGGCACGCUGAUAUGUAGGUGAAGUCCCUCGCGGAUGGAGCUGAAAUCAGUCGAAGAUACCAGCUGGCUGCAACUGUUUAUUAAAAACACAGCACUGUGCAAACACGAAAGUGGACGUAUACGGUGUGACGCCUGCCCGGUGCCGGAAGGUUAAUUGAUGGGGUUAGCGCAAGCGAAGCUCUUGAUCGAAGCCCCGGUAAACGGCGGCCGUAACUAUAACGGUCCUAAGGUAGCGAAAUUCCUUGUCGGGUAAGUUCCGACCUGCACGAAUGGCGUAAUGAUGGCCAGGCUGUCUCCACCCGAGACUCAGUGAAAUUGAACUCGCUGUGAAGAUGCAGUGUACCCGCGGCAAGACGGAAAGACCCCGUGAACCUUUACUAUAGCUUGACACUGAACAUUGAGCCUUGAUGUGUAGGAUAGGUGGGAGGCUUUGAAGUGUGGACGCCAGUCUGCAUGGAGCCGACCUUGAAAUACCACCCUUUAAUGUUUGAUGUUCUAACGUUGACCCGUGAUCCGGGUUGCGGACAGUGUCUGGUGGGUAGUUUGACUGGGGCGGUCUCCUCCUAAAGAGUAACGGAGGAGCACGAAGGUUGGCUAAUCCUGGUCGGACAUCAGGAGGUUAGU